AAAACACUGCUUAAUGCCCUCAACCUUUCGCCAAUGGAAGAACGAGAAGACUCACCUGCAACAGCCUAACUCUAAACACCCACCUCUGUGAAAAGGAGUGCAAAUUGAAUCUAUCAAAGCACACAUGCCCAGGUUGUUUUGUGCGUUCCUGUAGUCUUCCUUGUGUUAAAGCUCACAAACAACAAACUAGGUGUACGGGCAAGGGGCAGCGGACCCAGUUCGUUCCCCUCUCUCAAUUUGACGAUAAUCUCCUCUUAUCUGAGAUAAAUGCAUUACUUGGACGAUUGAAUGGCGGUUUCAUUCAAUAGACAUUGUUUUACUCAACCAUGGAAUAAAUGAAAACUCAACCCUCUCAUCUGCAAUUGAGAACCAUCUAAAGCCUGGGCCAUGGAAUCAUAGCCUCGAAUCGAUCUAUUGAGAGCAGCUGGACUGUCUCAAAUUUUUCAUUCGUAAAUAUCCAAAGGUAUUUCCUUUUCUUUGUUGAUUCAUAGUUGUUGACUUGUUGACUGUCAACUCUCUCAUCUGUAAUUGAGAACCAUCUAAAGCCUGGGCCAUGGAAUCAUAAGCUCAAGCCGAUUUGUUGAGAGCAGUUGGACUGUCUCAAAUUUUUCAUUCGUAAAUAUCCAAAGGUAUUUCCUUUUCUUUGCUGAUUCAUAGUUGUUGACUUGUUGACUGUGCUGAACCCAGCUUUAUUGUUGGAUUGCAUUGAGCUAGUGUUGAGGCCAUGAGCCAAAAUGCCAGCUAAGGUAUAGCACAUCAUCCAUGCACCAUUUGUUAAUUGGAUUUUUUUACUGUGGUUUAUUGUCCGUCCUCUUUGGAGAUGGUCCAUUUAUGCUAGGCACUGCUGCUGAAAUCUUUAAAAUUGAGAGGCUAGGAUUUGCUCAACUUGCAACAUGCAGUGCAUUGCCAACCAAAAAAUUAUACUUGUCUCUCUGGUUCUCUGGUUCAAAUAAUGGUUUAUGGUGGGUAAAAUAAUUGGUCCCCCAACUAGUCUGUAAACAAAAUACCUGAAUUUACAUUUUUUUUUUCCCUGGAUUUGGGAAAUGAGCAUCCUGGGUUGGGACUGAAUUGGGUUAUUGGUGGAUGCUCUAUUUGGGUUUCUGUUGGCCUUCAAUUCUACUGCACCCAUGUUACCUAUGAAAAUAAUUUUCUACUAUUCCCACCCGAACUCCAGCCAUUACCUGAUGUCUACUCAAAUAUUUCCACCUGUAGCAUUUCCUUGUAUAUAACUUUCCUUGCUUUAUAGUAUUAAAAAAAGAAAAAAAAAACACUAUCAAAACAUUUUUUCCCCUCGUGAACAAGAAAAAAUUCUAUCUGAAAAAAAAUCUAAUCCUUCCAUGUCACUGCAGGGCCCAGGUCAUAUUUCUAUGAGUUGGAUAUAAGAGCUCCAAUAAGACAUCAAUUAGCCAGUUUAGUUAUUCUGGAGUACCCUCUGAUUCAUGUUUUCCUCCCUUCACAUAGCUAUGAUUUCAAUGUCAUUAAAGAUGCCAAUCCUUGUCGUCAUCAACCAGAGCUUAAGAAGUCUAUUGCCAUUGAUCACCCAAGUCCAGAGGGCAUUUCAUUCAGGGAAGAGGAAAUAGAAGAACAUGGUGGUUCUUCAGAUCCUCAGAUUCUAAGAUCUCAUGAAGCAUGUGAAAUCGACAGAAGCUAAAAAGCCACAGUCCAGCCCCCCAGAAGAAGGAACCAGGCGAGAACAUGGAUUUUGAUUUUGAUCAAGGCUUGCUUGAUGCAUACUCUGAUAUAAUUGCUCAAAUUAAUCCUGAUGAUUUUCUUGAUUGGGAAGGUUACUUUUCCAAGGAAGUGAAAUCUGAAGAAAGAAUUGAUUGUUCAGAUCUUGGUAGAGUUUUUCCAGUGGAGGAAUUAGAGGAAGGGGAGAUUCUUGGGUGCUGAACAAUUGAAUGCUCAUUGAUCUGUUCAAGACGAAUAAGAGCUCAAAAUUGAAGAAUCAUCUCCCUAUUAUUAUUUCUAAACAUUAUGAAGCGCAAAGUCCUCAAUUCUCCCUGCAUGACACAUUCCCAUUUAGAUAGAGCCUAAGGAGGCUGUGAAUUGAGUGAUUGUGGGCACUAUACCUCCAUUGCUUUGUGAUCAAUGGCAAUUUUUAUGGUUGAAACUGCAGUCUCUGUUGAUGGGGUUUCUCAAGUUCUGAAACCGCCUGGCUUCUUGAUCAUCAUCGGAUUUCUUCAGAGGGCCCACACAUUGAUGUCUUGGAGCAGCACUUACUGUAAGUUAUUUAUGGUCUUGUCAUUUUGUUUCUCUCCAGUGUCAAACUUUCUCUUCUUCCAGAAUGUUGUUACUUCAAACAAUUACUAUGAUUCAUUUAUACAUUAAUUAGCUAUAGUACCUUUUAUCUC